rnacentral:lncRNA from 15 species
GCAGACGUGUCACACUAAUUUCUGAGGACUUGUAGUGUUGUUAAAAGCAAGUACAACAUAUAUCUGGGUUAAGUGUGUAACAUUGAAGAGAAAUUGUCAGAAAUUGAAUAAUGAUAUCAACAUAUUAUGUGUAUGACUUUAGUGUCUUUGCAGUUCUGUUUUUUUAUCCAUAUGCUCCUUUUUUAUGGGAUUUAUGUCUUUGUUGUUUCAUUUUUCAGAAUGACACUAAUCAGAACCUGCAGGACAGAUUGUUCAUCAAACCCACAUUCAUUAUCUUCAGCCAUGACACUGUUUUGGUUCUUCUCCUUAUUCACACGUUUGGAGCUGAGCGGAUUGAAUUCAUUUGCACAGUGGGUUGUCACAUGAGCUCGGCUGGUGGACUGCUUGAACUGACCAUUAGUUUGAUUGCCGUUGGUUGUGCCACGUAUAAAUUGAAACGUAAGUCACAGUUCAUCCACUUAUAUUGAUAUGCAGUGUGUUUCAUCU